AACGCACCUUGCGCCUCUUGGUAUUCCGAGGGGCAUGCCUGUUUGAGUGUCGUUGAAUCCUCAAAAGGGAAGCUUGACCGUUUCUCUUUUGGAAUUGGGGUGUGCUGGCCUUUUGUCAAUGAAGCCCAGCUCCUCUAAAAUGCAUUAGCGAUGUGACAUCCACAUGCACCGCGCUUCUCUGGCAUUGAUAGUAUCUUCAUGCUAGGGGCGGGUUUUGCAGCUGUGGAAAGCUUUGCUCGCUCACAACUGAUGGCGUGGAGAGGUGCCUUUGUGCCUCCUCACCUAUCCUCUGACAAUAUCACCUCAAAUCAGGUAGGAUUACCCGCUGAACUUAA
rnacentral:misc_RNA from 1 species